UACGGAGGGUGCAAGCGUUGUCCGGAUUAUUGGGUUUAAAGGGUGCGUAGGCGGCCCGUUAAGUCAGUGGUGAAAGCCUCCAGCUCAACUGGAGAACUGCCAUUGAUACUGGCGGGCUUGAGUACAGACGAGGUUGGCGGAAUUGAUUGUGUAGCGGUGAAAUGCAUAGAUACAAUCAAGAACACCGAUUGCGUAGGCAGCUAACUAGGCUGUAACUGACGCUGAGGCACGAAAGCGUGGGGAGCGAACAGG
rnacentral:rRNA from 1 species